UGGCGGACGGGUGAGUAAUGUCUGGGAAACUGCCUGAUGGAGGGGGAUAACUACUGGAAACGGUAGCUAAUACCGCAUAACGUCGCAAGACCAAAGAGGGGGACCCUCGGGCCUCUUGCCAUCGGAUGUGCCCAGAUGGGAUUAGCUUGUUGGUGGGGUAACGGCUCACCAAGGCGACGAUCCCUAGCUGGUCUGAGAGGAUGACCAGCCACGCUGGAACUGAGACACGGUCCAGACUCCUACGGGAGGCAGCAUG
rnacentral:rRNA from 1 species